rnacentral:tRNA from 1 species
AUUUAAAUAGUUUAAUAAAAAUUUUGAUUUGUGGAGUCAAAGAUACAAUAAUGUGUUUUAAAUA